AUUGAACGCUGGCGGCAUGCCUUACACAUGCAAGUCGAACGGCAGCAUGAUCUAGCUUGCUAGAUUGAUGGCGAGUGGCGAACGGGUGAGUAAUACAUCGGAACGUGCCCUGUAGUGGGGGAUAACUAGUCGAAAGAUUAGCUAAUACCGCAUACGACCUGAGGGUGAAAGUGGGGGACCGCAAGGCCUCAUGCUAUAGGAGCGGCCGAUGUCUGAUUAGCUAGUUGGUGAGGUAAAGGCUCACCAAGGCGACGAUCAGUAGCUGGUCUGAGAGGACGAUCAGCCACACUGGGACUGAGACACGGCCCAGACGCCUACGGGAGGCAGCAGUGGGGAAUUUUGGACAAUGGGCGAAAGCCUGAUCCAGCAAUGCCGCGUGUGUGAAGAAGGCCUUCGGGUUGUAAAGCACUUUUGUCCGGAAAGAAAUGGCUCUGGUUAAUACCUGGGGUCAAUGACGGUACCGGAAGAAUAAGGACCGGCUAACUACGUG
rnacentral:rRNA from 1 species